rnacentral:lncRNA from 1 species
AUGCAGACUUCCUUCAACCAUAGCUUCUUUAUCUAGAUUUUGUUUAGGCUGAUCUUGAGCUCGUUGGACUCCAUUUAUCAUCAUGGACCUCGCUAUAGGCUUAGUGUGGACCGAAUCUUAAGGCAUCAAAUCUUAAUAGAAGAAGAGAAAGGCUUCAACUAUUAUCGAAGCCUAAAAGAAGCAACAGUCUAUCGGGGCUGGGCAGUCAUCUGGAUCCCCCUCCCCC